rnacentral:lncRNA from 1 species
UUUUUUUUUUUUUUGUCUUUUUGCUAUUUCUUGGGCCGCUCCCACGGCAUAUGGAGGUUCCCAGGCUAGGGGUCCAAUCGGAGCUGUAGCCUCCGGCCUACACCAGAGCCACAGCAACGCGGGAUCCGAGCCGCGUCUGCAACCUACACCACAGCUCACGGCAACGCCGGAUCGUUAACCCACUGAGCAAGGGCAGGGACCGAACCCGCAACCUCAUGGUUCCUAGUCGGAUUCCUUAACCACUGCGCCACGACGGGAACUCCAUAUAUUACUCAUUUAUUAGCACAUUGUCAAUACAUUAUGUUUGAUUUUUAUAAUUCCUUUAUUUCAUACUAUUUUAUUUGUUUUGAUUAUACCUAAAGAAAUAUAAUUUUGUCUGUUAAAUCUUAUAAUAAAAAUUUUCCAUUGUAUUUAGUGUUGUUUUGCCUUUUUAUUUUUAAUUCCAAAAUAAUUCAUACUUACUGUAUUUUACUAAAGUAUCACUUGACAGUAGGUUUGGAAAUAAAAAUUGGUCUUUCACCUCACAGACAGUUUGAGAAGUACUGCUCCAGAGUGUUAACAAAGAGUUAUGGAGGAGGCUAAAAUAUGGAAACAGAGAGUCAGAUGAAAAUGAAGAACGGGCAGAGGAAAGAAUAAGGGAAGGGGAGACACUGAAAGGAAAGAAGGGUAGAGCACAAAGUGGAAACUUGAGGGCACUGUCUUCCAUCUAGUCAGUCCCAAGGGAUUUCCAGGUUACAGAUGUUUUCAUACUUAAGGGAGGCUCUGAGGUCUGAACAAUGGAGGUCAUUGUUGUUGAAGGUGAAAUUAGUUUGCCCGAUGACAAGUAUGCAGACAACAAGGCCUUUGAGAGAAACAAUCCCUGUAAGUCAGAAAAUUAAAAGGAUAAAAUGAAAAAUAUGAAGGUGUGGUCUUAGAGGUAAACAGGUCAUGUCAUGAACAUAGAAAGGGAAGUAACCAUCAGUUGUCAUCAACUUCAAGGAAAAAGGGAUUUUUAAAUGGUGGUGGUAGAAUAAUGGUCUGAAAGAGACAUCAAGGAAUAAGGAGGAUGCCUCUCCUUGCAUCCUGAGUAGGAGAGGUAGAAAAAGAAUUCAUGGCCACUGUAAGGUCCUCUAAUGGAAAAGGGACCUUCUGCAGAAAGUUGCACUUGAGUUUCAGGGAACAGAAGCAGCACCAGAAAAUAAAACAUGAAGGUGGAAGAAGUUUGUUCUAGAAGUUAUGGGGGAAGGAGUAAGGAAAGUCCUAAAGUGGGUUAAAAAAGGUGUGUUGGGAAGGCUGGGCAGGCUGUAUCAACAUUAAUUUCCUGUACACCCAGGAUGACUGCCUAAGGUAAUAGGUAAACUUUAUGGAUAGAAACACUGAAGUUCAGGAGAGGUUAAGAAAUCAUGGGAAGUGUUGCAAAGGGAGAGGUGAGUAGUGAGAAUUUUAUUAUUAGAGAAUUUUGUGCCAAUAAGAACCCUAGAGUAGGGCAAAAUGAUAACCUUUCCCAAACACCCCACCAAAGAUGCCUAAGUCCUAAUACCCAGAACCUAUGAAUAUAUUACCUUACAUGGCAAAAAUGAGUUUGCUGAUGUGGUUAAAUUAAGAAUUCAGAGCUGGAGAAGAGGAUAGUAUCCUGGAUCAUCCAGAUCAGACCAGUGUAAUCACAAGGUCCAUAUAAGAGGAGGCAAGAGGAGUGAGAGUCAGAGGAAAGGAGAGGUGAUGAUGGAAACAGGCCAGGGUGAAGCAAUUGCUGGCUGCAAAGACAGAGAAGGGAGCCAGGAGCCAAGCAAUACAAGCAGCCUCUAGGGAAUGAAAAAAAGGCAAGAAGAAAAAUUUUUCCCUUAGAGCCUCCAGAAGGAAGGUAACGGGCUGAUAUCCAUUUUUGUGUAAUCCAUUAAAGACUGUUCAUCUCCUAAACUCUAAGACAAUAAAUGUGUAUUGUUUGCAACCACUCUGUGAUAAUCUGUACCAAAAAAAAAAACAAAAAAGGAGUACAAUGCCACUAUAUUUUAAUUAAAAAGUGUAAUUAUAAUGAUAAAAUAUAUUUUAUACAGAAACACAUACCAUAAAUACAUACACAACGCACACAUAUAAUCAAAGAUUUGCAAAAUCCUGCAUUACAACCAAGAUGUAAGGAGGUUCAAAAUUAAACUUUUACUUACCGGUAUGCUCUGAAUUUUCAAGUUGUGUAUAAAGUUGAUCGACUAAAAUACUGGCUUCUAUUCAUUGGUUAAUCUAACUAUAAUGAAAAAUAAUAUUGAAAGGAUGGAUACAAAACCAAUAUAAUCAAUCUCAUAAAAGAAUGACUAAAGUCAAAGUGUAAAUACACAAAAAUUAUGAUUUAAAAGAAAAUCUUCGGAGUUCCCGUCAUGGCUUAGUGGUUAACGAAUAUGACCAGCAUCCAUGAAGACACAGGUUCAAUCCCUGGCCUUGCUCAGUAGGUUAAAGAUCUGGCAUUGCCGUGAGCUGUGGCGUAGUUUGCAGACACGGCUUUGAUCUGGCAUUGCUGUGGUGUAGGCCAGCAGUUACAGCUCCAAAGGAGUUAAUCGCAAUACAGUCUCAUUAAAGAAUUCAUAAGGAGAUGACUUGUAAAAGUAAACGUGGAGAAAAGUCAUUGUUGAGGACUUUGAAGUCUUCUAGAAAUUGAUUUCAAAAAAACGGCACAGGAGUCUCACUACCAAGAGAGAAACCCAAGAGGCUUUGCACAAACAUCUGUUUUUCCUAGCCUUGCUGUACAGCAAUAAAAGCUUCACUUGUCCUAAGGCAAGGCCUGGGGACGUGCCCACCAACAGUAAGGUCAUCCCACAUGUACUGUGUUUUCAUCCCUGCCCUAAUGAAAUUCGACAGCCACCCAGUACUUUUUUAUUUACAUGCUUAUUAAAGUCACACAGGUAAAACAUUUCCAAAUGUGUUUUCAGAGCACAUUUUAGUGCUUUCAAAUGUUUUGAGGGUAAUUGUUAGAAGGAUGGGGGAAAAAAUAUAUAGGAGCUCAGCCUGAGAAUAAAAAUCUGUUUUGGCAUUUUAAUGUCUAAAGACUCAGGAACUGCCAAAUGUUUGCUAAUCAAGAAGCAGUAGAAAUUCACAAUCAGUCCCCAAAAUAUAAAACAAGUCUAUUCACUGUAAAAAUAUGUUUACUGCAUUUACUUACCGGCUGUUUAGCACAAAUGUUUUUUGUUCCAAAGUGGAAAAGCUGGCAAUUCUUUAAUUUCCAAAGUGCUCAUUGAGUGCAGCUGUAGAUGUACAAGGCUUUUGUUAAUGGCAUAUCCAGGUACCAUUUGCUUCUCUUUUGUCAGAUACCGCCUUUAUUUGAAGUCAACAGAAGCCCUUUUCCUUUUCCCUCUGGCAGUAUUUGUAGUUAUUGUGUUCACAGAGAAAGCACAGGCAUCAGGGCAUGGACUGAUCUUGCUUUGAACCCAUUCAGAUGCAGUGCUGACAUUUUGGGAAUAACUUCAUAUUUUUUGCUUACUAAUGUACCAUAGUCUUCAAAAAUAGCCCAGAGCAUUGCAUUUGGGACUCCUCGGCAUUAAAAUAUCUGCUACCCUGAGUAAAAUUCUAACUACAGUUUUGUUUUUUGCUUUUUUUAAACAACUCAAAGAACACACCUUGUACUUGAAUAAAUUUCACUGUCAUUUUUCAAAGGCAUUUUCUUUUGUUGAACCAUAGUCUCACCUCCUUUAUUAGAUUUCAAAUUUCCUUUUCAAGAAUGAAUCUUAAGGGGUCAGUGGACCAACACUGGCUGAGGAAAUCUCAGGCUCUCAAUGCAUGCAUAAUGAUCAGAGGAAAAGAUUACCUUUAAUGUGUAGGAAUAAUGACUCUAGGAAUAAGUAAAAUAAUUCUGUUGCCCAUAAAACUAAAUCAAGAUUACAGCUGCCUUAUCUCCUCUUUUAGAACAAGUAGGUUUAGAGUUGAAGAGAAAAAAGUAGUAAAAGCAGCAUAUUUUUUAGUAGUCCCAACAUUUAAUAAAUACCAUUUGUGUGCACAACUGUUUUAAAAGGAGGGAAACAGCAAGAAAAGGGCUUUAAGACUUAAGUCUAUAAACACACUCUUGGGUGGUAUAAAUGGGAGCUAUGAGUUACAAGGGCAUCACGGUGUCACUUGGGGCUCAGCCUGUCAGCAAAGCAGGCACUAGCUAAAGAGAUGCUCGGUUUCCUUCAAAUGAGAGGAUCUUUCUCGGAAACCCAAAUUUUUCGGCUUCCACCCAUCUGCACCUCCCCACCCCUGCUCACUAGCAUUUUGCUAGUACUUCUUAAAAGACCUAAAAGAAACUACUAAAAUAACCCCCUCUUGAGACAGUUACCAAGCAUGAGAAUCACAGGCAUCCAAGAGACUUCAUAUAUCUGAUUAGCAAUAUUCCUCUGAGUAAAAUAGGAAGUUCAAAAAGAUGUUGGAUGGAACAGGUAUUUUGGGUACUUACUUCUAAGGCCACUUUAAACUUCACAAUAACCCUCUAAGGGAAAUAAAACUCCUAUUAAAGACUUAAUUAAGUUAAAAAGAACUCUAAGAGUAAAACAUAAAAGUCACACAGCUGCUGCUGACUCCAGGCACUGAGACCUAUAAAAGAAUAUCUAAGAAGCAGAGGUGGGGCUGGAACUUGAGAGAUGUAUGGAUCUGAGUUUCUGCUUCCACACUGUAUUUUUAGCCAUCAUGUUGGUACAAGACUGAAGGCUCUAGGAUAUUCAGAAGCGUAAAUCAUUUGACAACCUGCUGUGGAUUUUAUUUCCCAUCACUUUUUUUUAAAUCUUCUAAGCCUAGAAGUUCGGUCGUUCUAGAAGGUGAUGAACAGGAGGUUAUGUAUGGGAGGUGGUAUAUCAGGUUUGUGCCAACAGAUCAGGAAGGAGGAAGUUCCAAAACUAAACAAACUUCCAAUUGUAAGAUGAGUAAGUUCUACCAGAUGGUGAUUCUAAUGAAUAAAACUGUAUUGUAUACUUGAAAGUUGCUAAGAGAGUUGAUCUUAAAUGUUCUCACCACAAAAAAAGAAGUGGUAACUAUGCAAAGUGCUGGAAGUGUUAGCUAACACGAUAGGUGGUAAUCAUUUUGCAACAUACAGUUAUAUCAAAUCACUGCAUUGUAGGGAGUUCUCUUGUGGUACAGCAGGUUAAGGAU